GGUUUUUGGGCUACCAAUUUCGAAACCUACGGACUCUUAAUCCGUAGGUCGAGUGUUCGAGUCACUCACGCCCCACCA
rnacentral:tRNA from 1 species